GGCUCAGGACGAACGCUGGCGGCGUGCUUAACACAUGCAAGUCGAACGGGGUCCAUCCGGUGGCAACACCGGUGAAGACCCAGUGGCGAACGGGUGAGUAACACGUGAGCAACCUGCCCCGAAGACAGGGAUAACACCGGGAAACCGGUGCUAAUACCGGAUGCCCCCACCGGACCGCAUGAUCUGGUGAGGAAAUGGAUUCCGCUUCGGGAGGGGCUCGCGGCCUAUCAGCUUGUUGGUGGGGUAACGGCCUACCAAGGCUUCGACGGGUGGCUGGUCUGAGGGGACGAUCAGCCACACUGGGACUGAGACACGGCCCAGACUCCUACGGGAGGCAGCAGUGGGGAAUCUUGCGCAAUGGGCGAAAGCCUGACGCAGCAACGCCGCGUGGGGGAUGAAGGCUCUCGGGUUGUAAACCCCUUUCAGCAGGGACGAAAUUGACGGUACCUGCAGAAGAAGCCCCGGCCAACUACGUGCCAGCAGCCGCGGUAAUACGUAGGGGGCGAGCGUUGUCCGGAUUCAUUGGGCGUAAAGAGCUCGUAGGCGGCUUGGUAAGUCGGGUGUGAAACCCCCAGGCUCAACCUGGGGCCGCCACCCGAUACUGCCAUGGCUAGAGUCCGGUAGGGGACCACGGAAUUCCUGGUGUAGCGGUGAAAUGCGCAGAUAUCAGGAGGAACACCGGUGGCGAAGGCGGUGGUCUGGGCCGGAACUGACGCUGAGGAGCGAAAGCGUGGGGAGCAAACAGGAUUAGAUACCCUGGUAGUCCACGCCGUAAACGUUGGGCACUAGGUGUGGGGCCUUAUCAACGGGCUCCGUGCCGUAGCUAACGCAUUAAGUGCCCCGCCUGGGGAGUACGGGCCGCAAGGCUAAAACU
rnacentral:rRNA from 1 species